rnacentral:rRNA from 1 species
AUUGAACGCUGGCGGCAUGCUUUACACAUGCAAGUCGAGCGGCAGCGCGGGGGCAACCCUGGCGGCGAGCGGCGAACGGGUGAGUAAUGCAUCGGAACGUACCCUGGAGUGGGGGGAUAACGCCGCGAAAGCGGCGCUAAUACCGCAUAUGCUCUGAGGAGGAAAGUGGGGGGACCGCAAGGCCUCACGCUCUGGGAGCGGCCGAUGUCCGAUUAGCUAGUUGGUGGGGUAAAGGCUUACCAAGGCGACGAUCGGUAGCUGGUCUGAGAGGAUGAUCAGCCACACUGGGACUGAGACACGGCCCAGACUCCUACGGGAGGCAGCAGUGGGGGAAUUUUGGGACAAUGGGGGCAACCCUGAUCCAGCCAUGCCGCGUGAGUGAAGAAGGCC